UUCUCUGCGUGAGGGAUAGUAGUGGAAAGCCCACAGUCUCGUCUUUCGGGACGAGACGAGGACUUGGAACGGAUAGCCCGACCCGAA
rnacentral:misc_RNA from 1 species